rnacentral:rRNA from 1 species
GUCCACGCAGUAAACGAUGAUUACUAGGAGUUUGCGAUAUAAUGUAAGCUCUACAGCGAAAGCGUUAAGUAAUCCACCUGGGGGAGUACGCCGGCAACGGUGAAACUCAAAGGAAUUGACGGGGCCGCACAAGCGGAGGAACAUGUGGUUUAAUUCGAUGAUACGCGAGGAACCUUACCCGGGUUUGAACGCAGUCUGACCGCCGAUUGAAAGUCGGCUUCUAGCAAUAGCGGAUUGCGAGGUGCUGCAUGGUUGUCGU